rnacentral:lncRNA from 1 species
UUUGUCUGCGCCGCUUAUUGGAGACAUGCCAUUUCUGCACUGUGCCUCUAUGGGAUCUAGCUUCUCCCAGCUGUGUUUAAUGACAUGGCAUUUGGUUUGUAUUUGGUUUGUAAGUGCUGCAUCAUUGCUAGGUAACCUGUUUGCGGCGGAGUAAUACAUGGAGAGCUUCGGUUACAGUGCAUUACCGGCUAAUAAUGUCACUCAGUAAACACCUUUCAGCCAAUGAUAUUGCUGUCAUCCAUUUCUUCUUCUCCUUGACAAAAGAAAUUGCAGGAAAAUUAGAUGUAUCUGAUUUCUAUUCCACAUAUUAGGAAAUAAAAAUAAUGAGUGAGUGUUUUUUUUUUUUUUUUUUUGCUGUUCACACUCAGACAACACAUCUGUAUCACAUAUGAGCUUAUAUGUGGGCCACUUUAAUAUGCGGUGUUAAAGUGGCCAUAGUGUAUUGUGGUUGUUUCAGUCCAGAUUGACUCCAUCUGUAUGAUUUACUGCAGGCUAAUACAAUUUUUAUGUCUUUUCAGGUUCCAGCUUGGUUCUCGCUUGCUUCCCCUGUGGAAACUCACGCGGGGCGGAGGCCCAUCCCACGUCUGCUGACAGCGGUUCUGAUGAACGGGGCUCAGCAGUGGAGGCUGGACAGCAGGAUCAAAGAGCCGGACACGCAUGAAUCAAACAUGGAGGGGGAGGAUGGAGGAUGAGGGAUAUGGAGAAAUCCCCUGGGUUUGACUUAACAACCGGAGAAGCACUGAGUGGAAAGCAGCCCACUGUAUGGAGAUGGAGAGCUCAAACCGUCUCCAUUCAUUUCAAUGUACAACUUUUACCAGUCCAAUAUUUUUAAUAUUUUUAUUUUUAUGCCCAAUUAAACACUAAUAUGUACUACACAACAUACAGCUGUGCGUGAAUUCAUGAUGAAGUGUUGCUUCAUUUAAUGGCUUGGGAGUGCAAACACCUGUAUAAGUUGUGAGGCAUUAUCUUGUGGUGAGGUUGAUUGCCACUUGCCAGCAUACCGAUUUUAUUAUAUAUAUUUACUCCUUCCAUCGGGGACUGGGUGCUGCUGACUGACUGAGUCACACCAUAUGGACAUUAUUAUUCAACCACUUUAAUUCUUAAUUAUUUACUCAUGAUUAGGUAUUCACAUAUUCACAUAGAACCAAUUUGUAACGUAUGCAUAUUUAUAUUUCUAU